GGAGGAGUGGCAGAGUGGAUGAUUGCGGCGGUCUUGAAAACCGUUGUGCCGGAAGGCACCGUGGGUUCGAAUCCUACCUCCUCCGCAA
rnacentral:tRNA from 1 species